GACGAACGCUGGCGGCGUGCUUAACACAUGCCAGUCGAACGGACAGGCCCUGCGUUUGUGGGUUGCUCGAGUGGCGCACGCGUGAGUAACACGUGAGUAACCUGCCCUUGACUUUCUGAUAACUUCAGGAAACUGCGGCUAUUACCGCGGAGGAUCUCCUGCUGCAUGUUGGUGGUUGGAAAGUUUCGGCGGUAGGGGAUGGACUCGCUGCUUCUCAGCUUGUUGGUGGGGUAGUGGCUUACAAAGGCUUUGACGGAUAGCCGGCCUGAGAGGGUGACCGGCCACAUUGGGACUGAGAUACGGCGCAGACGCCUACGGGAGGCAGCAGUGGGAAACAUUGCACAAUGGGCGGAAGCCUGAUGCAGCAGCGCCGCGUGCGGAAUGCCGGCCUACGGGUUGUAAACCGCUUUCGCCUGUGACGAAGCGUGAGUGACGGUAAUGGGUAAAGAAGCACCGGCUAACUACGUG
rnacentral:rRNA from 1 species